rnacentral:guide_RNA from 1 species
AUACAUAAUACAAAGAGACAGAACGUGAUAUCUAUAUAUGAGAGUUAAUAU